CAANGUAUGCUUUGGAAACUGUUAGACUNGAGUGCAGAAGGGGAGAGUGGAAUUCCAUGUGUAGCGGUGAAAUGCGUAGAUAUAUGGAGGAACACCGGUGGCGAAAGCGGCUCUCUGGUCUGUCACUGACGCUGAGGCUNGAAAGCGUGGGUAGCGAACAGGAUUAGAUACCCUGGUAGUNCACGCCGUAAACGCUGAGUGCUAGGUGUUAGGUCCUUUCCGGGACUUAGUGCCGACGCUAACGCAUUAAGCACUCCGCCUGGGGAGUACGACCGCAAGGUUGAAACUCAAAGGAAUUGACGGGGGCCCGCACAAGCGGUGGAGCAUGUGGUUUAAUUCGAAGCAACGCGAAGAACCUUACCAGGUCUUGACAUCCCGAUGCCCGCUCUAGAGAUAGAGUUUUUCUUCGGAACAUCGGAGACAGGUGGUGCAUGGUUGUCGUCAGCUCGUGUCGUGAGAUGUUGGGUUAAGUCCCGCAACGAGCGCAACCCUUAUUGUUAGUUGCCAUCAUUAAGUUGGGCACUCUAGCGAGACUGCCGGUAAUAAACCGGAGGAAGGUGGGGAUGACGUCAAAUCAUCAUGCCCCUUAUGACCUGGGCUACACACGUGCUACAAUGGUUGGUACAACGAGUCGCAAGCCGGUGACGGCAAGCUAAUCUCUGAAAGCCAAUCUCAGUUCGGAUUGUAGGCUGCAACUCGCCUACAUGAAGUCGGAAUCGCUAGUAAUCGCGGAUCAGCACGCCGCGGUGAAUACGUUCCCGGGCCUUGUACACACCGCCCGUCACACCACGAGAGUUUGUAACACCCAAAGUCGGUGAGGUAACCAUUUAUGGGGCCAGCCGC
rnacentral:rRNA from 1 species